rnacentral:tRNA from 1 species
GAUUAUUUAGUAUAAAUUAUUACAUUAGACUGUAAAUCUAAUAAUGACCUUGUCAAUAAUCA